rnacentral:rRNA from 1 species
AUCCGUAGGUGAACCUGCGGAAGGAUCAUUUCUGAAGGCUUACACGCCAACAUUGUGAAACGCGUCUUCGGGCGCAUUGCUUGGGUGUUCCAUUUUGGGCGCCCAACCAUAAAACUCUUAUUUUUUAUUCUGACAACCAAGAAAAUUCAAAACUUUCAACAACGGAUCUCUUGGUUCUCGCAUCGAUGAAGAACGCAGCAAAGCGCGAUAGGUAAUGCGAAUUGCACACGUGAGUCAUUGAAUCUUUGAACGCACAUUGCGCUACUAGGUUCUCCUAGUAGCAUGCUUGUUGGAGCGCCGAUCUUUCUCAUCUACCAUGUUUUCAUGGCGGAUGGUUUUGCUCCACUCUGGAGUGAAAAGAAUGGAAGUGCACACGUUAGAUAACUCUGUGCAGUUACAAUCAAACUUUUGGCCCCCAAUCAAGCAAGGCUACCCGCUGAACUUAAGCAUAUCAAUAAGCGGAGGA